GGGCUGGUGGUGUAAUGGAAGCACUCGAGCCUUCGAACCAUUAAGUCUCAAAAUGAGGUUUAAUUUGAAGACAGCUCGCGAUCGGGGUUCGAUUCCCUGUCAGCCCG
rnacentral:tRNA from 1 species